GACGAACGCUGGCGGCGUGCUUAACACAUGCAAGUCGAACGGAAAGGCCCUGCUUUUGUGGGGUGCUCGAUUGGCGAACGGGUGAGUAACACGUGAGUAACCUGCCCUUGACUUUGGGAUAACUUCAGGAAACUGGGGCUAAUACCGGAUAGGAGCUCCUGCUGCAUGGUGGGGGUUGGAAAGUUUCGGCGGUUGGGGAUGGACUCGCGGCUUAUCAGCUUGUUGGUGGGGUAGUGGCUUACCAAGGCUUUGACGGGUAGCCGGCCUUAGAGGGUGACCGGCCACAUUGGGACUGAGAGACGGACCAGAAUCCUACGGGAGGCAGCAGUGGGGAAUAUUGCACAAUGGGCGGAAGCCUGAUGCAGAAACGCCGCGUGCGGGAUGACGGCCUUCGGGUUGUAAACCGCUUUCGCCUGUGACGAAGCGUGAGUGACGGUAAUGGGUAAAGAAGCACCGGCUAACUACGUG
rnacentral:rRNA from 1 species